GUUCGUAGGAGAAAGUAGAGGGGAAAAUCACCUGUGUUGUAGGGGAAAAGACUGUUGUGGCGUGGCAACGCUGGCUUCGGCAGUCGGCAGAAAUAUUUAUUGUUGGAACAGUCCAGGAGUCCAGGACCCAUUGGAAUUUGGAAAAUUGGAUGGGUUCGGAAAGCGGUAGCCGGUAGGAGUCUAGAGAUCGAGGACGAUUAUAUACGCAGCCCCGUGUCUGUCACCGUCCGACUCUGUUUGACCGCUAUUCAUUGUCAACUCUUAAGGUUAAGUGAAGACUGGAGUGGAUACAAGCAAAUAGACUUCUCUGAUGUCUGUGAAGACGGUUGUCAUAAGACUAAAAUCUUCAUUCCCAAUAUUCUGAGGAUCUUGAAGCUUGAGGAGCUAACAAAUAUAGCUGCUACCUUUGCAAGUUCUUGUCACCCGUACCCUUAGGAUCAACUACAGUGACACCCGUACCCUUAGGAUCAUCUACAGUGACGCUUUGUAUGGGGAAUUGUUUGCAGUAUUGGCGCUACCUUUGAAAGUUCUUGUCACUCGUACCCUUAGGAUCAUCUAUAGUGAAACUUCAUGUACGGAAAUUCCAAGUUGUUCAUGUUGUAAGGAGCUGAUGUGCAGACGUGCCGAUGUGCAGAUGGACAUUUGGGGAUUAAGCCAACCUUGGGUGUCCUGUUGUCGGCCACUACGAUAGUUUCCAGACCUGCUCUACCUUCUUGCUCAGAGCUUUGGUUCCUGUGAUGACUUAUCUAUUAGUGUGUUUUCUGUACAUCAUUUUUGGUUGAUGUCCACAAUGCCAACAUCUUCUCGCAUUCCCAGCCAUUUUUUAAAUUUCAGGAGCUGAUGUGCAAACGGACAUUUGGGAUCAGGCCAACCUUGGGUGUCUGGUUGUCGGCCGCUACGAUAGUUUCCAGACCUGCUCUACCUUCUUGGCCAGAGCUUGGUUCCUGUGAUGACUAAUAGAUAAGUGGGUUCUCUGUGCAGCAUUUUUGGUUGAUGUCCACAAUGCCGACAUCUCGCAUUCCCAUCUUGACUGCCAUCACAACUGCUUGAUCUGCAGCUGUACUCUCAUCUUUGCCUGAGCUACAGUUCCUUUUAUAUUUCACUUCAACAGUGUAGUAGUAGUAUACUCCACGUGUUGGGUGAACUUCUGCCCCCUGCUGAGUCUUCGGACACAGUUGAGUUUCCUGAGAGAGAUACAAGAACUCGUGAGGAAAAGAACUAGGCUUCUUUGUCUUCAGCUGCCUGGUCUUCUGUCUGAUAGAGGAUUAGGGAUAGUGUUGCUGCUUCAUGUAAGGAAAAUGUAUAACACACUGUAUAUUCCUCUCCAUAUGAGAUCCUCCUGGUCACAGCUGUUUUUCUAAUUUUGAAGUAUCACGUCUAAUUGGCUCUUGGCCUUUUGUUGGCAGUUCCCAAGAAGUUUACUCCAUCUCCCCCCGAUUGCCCUGUUCAUAUUCAUAGGAGAGGUAAGGCUCCCAUCAAGAAAUCCUGUUUAGAAGUCUUCUAGAGAUCGGCUCCAACUGGUUCGUGCUUCUCUUCCAUACACACGUACAUGCACCAAACAUCGUCCUUUGUCUCCUCGCUGAAUUUCUUGUUCAUAUCUCGCAAAUUUGGCCCUCUGUUGUUGAGUGAUGUUCAUGUAUAGACCCUGCAGCAACAUCUUUUUGUACUGUCUCAGGAGCUAAUGUAAGGAUGAUGUCAAGACAUUUGAGUAUUGUUAGGCCUUCCUGGUGUACCAACCUUUGGUAACCUUCCUACUUCUUGUCUUUUUGUGUUCCUGUGUUGGCUGCCAUGAACAGUUUCCUUAACUUAAGCACUACCCAUUUCCUUGCCUAGAGCUUUGGGUUCCUGUGACGAGUAUCUGUCAACCGUGUACUCUGUUAAGCAUUUAGAUCAACAUCCACAGGGGCGAUGUCUUGUCACAUUCCAGUUUUGACUGCCAUGCCAAUUGGUGCAUAUUGGUUUAACUUCUUCCCCACUCUGUCUCUUGUGACUCUUGUUCACAGAGCUGACAUGGUUUCCCAAGAGAGGUAUGGACAUGUCGUGAAAACGAAAUGUCAUAAAUUUCUGUCUUCAUAUACCUGCUCUUCUCUCAUCAGAUGUUGUAGGAUUAGGGACCUUGUCGCUGCUCCUCGCAGUAGGACUAGGGACCUUGUUGCUGCUCCUUGCUAGAAAAGUCGUAGGACUAUCUGUAUCUAAAUCUCCAUUAUCUUUCAACCACAUACAUCGUUCUUUUGCACACGGAAGGUUUCUGAUGUUGAAGUCUCUGUAUUUGAUUCUCCAUUCCAAACACGGUUCCUCUUCAUUUGAUAAUUUAUUGGUUUUGUCAUCUUUCUUCCCCUGUUAUCCUGCUCAGGCUCCUACCAAGAAGUCGUGUUAUGUUUGCCUUUGUCUCUUAUCUUGUUCUACCUCACACGUCUGUGCUGAAAGACUGUUGUCCUAGUCCAAAAGAUGGUCGUCCGUCCAUCAUUCUCACUCACGCUCUUGUAUUACUUUUCAUAUGGAAUUCAUGAUUUUCCUUAUGACUGGUGUGUGCUAUUUCUUUGCGAAAGUUGUUUCAACACGUCAGUGUUUCUUCAAAGUUGUUUCUUUGGUUCCACGUGGGUAAUCUGAAAUGAUGAGAUACAAAUUUAUGUAAUAUUAAGAAAUAAUGAUUUUUUUUGCUUAAUAUUUAUGAAUUAACAUCAGUUAUAACAUAGCCAUGCCCAUGUUUCCUAUACAGUCUAAGCUUCCAUUACUGUGACCGCGCGGAUAAUUUUCUCAAGGUUGAAUGUCUGUUGUAUUUUAGAAAGAACAUCUUACUGAAGUCCAGUUGUGUCAGAUCAUAAUAAAUGCUAUACUAAAAAACUGGCAGGAGCUCUUCUGUGUUGAUUUAAAUCCACAAAAUACAAGGACAAUUCUCUUUUAUUUAACACCUAGUACCUACUACAAUUAAAUUUAUUUUUUCAAAAAGAGAAACACUAGGUUCAUCAGGUAAAGUAGUACCUCGUAUUUCGAAGUUAAUCUGUUCCAGAAGGAUGUUCGAAGUACUAUUUGUUCGAAAUAUGAAACAAAUAUCCCCAUAAGAAAUAAAGGGAAUCAGGAUAAUUCGUUCCAGCCAACCCAAAACGUCCCCCUUUUCACAUUUUUUCUAUUAUUAAUCCAGCCAACCCAAAAAGUCCCUAUUCACAUUUUUUCUAUUAUUAAUGUGUUCAAAAGUUAAAUCGAGUGUGUAAAGUAAUGAAACAGUAUGUUAUAUGGAGUAAAAUUUGCUAAAUUUUAUUUUUUCUGUGUACGAUUUACGAACUGUUGGGUAAAAAUGGCGCCGGCCGGCUGGGGGAUGGAGGGAAGAGAGACGGGAACCCUCUUGAGCAAACCGAAUUGAUUGCAGUAUACAAAGGUUGAUAUCAACAUACAUUUUUUUCACAUUAGGCACAAAGAUAAUUAAAGGAAUCGAUAGUGUAUGUGUGUCCGAUUGUGUGUGUGUGUGUGUGUGAGAGAGAGAGAGAGAGAGAGAGAGAGAGAGAGAGAGAGAGAGAGAGUAAUCAGCGUGUUAACACUUGGUUCUUAAGUGCACGAAAUAGAUUAAUUAUGCCACAAUACAUCAACUUACUGUUGGCAAACGGCAGACUUAAAACAAACACGAGGAUUUUACUAACAAGUAAUAAGUCAAGAAUGCAAGAAAAGGAAAGAAAUAAAAUAACUUUUCACAAGGAAGCCGUUUAAACAAACAAUCGACGGCAUGCAGAAGCUGAAAGCGGCGCCAGUUUGUUUUUUACAGAGCCGAGUUACUUCAACAGUAGUAAAAAUAUCGUAAAAAGCAAUUAUCACUAGAUUGGUAUUUUACUGUAAUAAAAAUAAAAGUGAUUUGGGCAGAUCGAGUGUAAGUGAAAGAAAUGGGGAAGUAAUCAUCCCAGAUCAGCUAAUAAGUCAAUGGUAAGCAGAGCCGUUCUCUCUCUCUCUCUCUCUCUCUCUCUCUCUCUCUCUCUCUCUCUCUCUCUCUCUCCCCGCACCGAACACUGGCUCG